rnacentral:misc_RNA from 1 species
CACAAGAGCUGUUGGGCACAACUAAUCUAAAUUUUGAGCGUGGAUCCACAUCGCCACCAUCUUCAGCAUAAAACUCAUCCAUCAAUUUACCAAGAAUAAGAUCGACUGCCUUGAGUAUGUCAUCAAGAAACCCAGAUACCAUUACAAUUCUAUCUGGUGUUCCAGGGAAAACUUCAUAGUUGCGCGACAACUGAAUUCUAG